rnacentral:rRNA from 1 species
CCUACGGGGUGCUGCAGUGGGGAAUAUUGGACAAUGGGCGAAAGCCUGAUCCAGCCAUGCCGCGUGUGUGAAGAAGGCCUUCGGGUUGUAAAGCACUUUCAGUGGGGAAGAAAGCCUUGGGGCUAAUACCCUCGAGGAAGGACAUCACCCACAGAAGAAGCACCGGCUAACUCCGUGCCAGCAGCCGCGGUAAUACGGAGGGUGCGAGCGUUAAUCGGAAUUACUGGGCGUAAAGCGCGCGUAGGCGGUCUGAUAAGCCGGUUGUGAAAGCCCCGGGCUCAACCUGGGAACGGCAUCCGGAACUGUCAGGCUAGGGUGCAGGAGAGGAAGGUAGAAUUCCCGGUGUAGCGGUGAAAUGCGUAGAGAUCGGGAGGAAUACCAGUGGCGAAGGCGGCCUUCUGGACUGACACUGACGCUGAGGUGCGAAAGCGUGGGUAGCAAACAGGAUUAGAUACCCCAGUAGUC